rnacentral:lncRNA from 1 species
GAGGUUAACACCCUUAAAUAAAUUUGAUAUUUUCUCAUUCAUUACAAAGUAUAUUUCCAUAUUUGGGUAGCCUGACAAAUGAGUUUUUCACUUGUUCUGAUAUAAGAAACUGUUAAAUGGGACAAUUAGGCAUGGGAUGAAUAUUUGGUCACCUUUUCAUUCUAAUUUGAAGGAAUUACAGAAGCAAAUACUUCCAUCCUAGAUGAGAAAUACUUUGUGACAGAGUAGUUAUUGUGGAUAGUAUAUAUAUCCUCUCUAUUAAUUUCUUUGAUAGUUCUCCCUUGUUGUAUGUAAAGAUGGACACUGCCACCUCUACCAACAUUGAAAGCAAAUACUUCCAUCCUAGAUGAGAAAUACUUCGUGACAGAGUAGUUAUUGUGGAUAGUAUAUAUAUCCUCUCUAUUAAUUUCUUUGAUAGUUCUCCCUUGUUGUAUGUAAAGAUGGAUACCGCC